rnacentral:lncRNA from 1 species
GGCUGUUCAAAUGGAUAGGCCAUGUGCUUUUAAUUUUGGGGUACACACCGGCAUAAGUGUGCAGAAGAGUCGACCGUAUUUAAAAAAGUCAGAAACACCUUGGCGUUUCGCAGUACUUGAUACAGAGAAAAAGGGUUUAAGCAGAUUGAGUCUGGCGAAGUUCUGUAAUUUAUUGAGACCCUUCUGUUUCGAUAGUCUUUUCAAGUGCUGGGAACUUCAAUUAUGUGUCUGCUUUACCAUCAAGACAGUGCUUACUGCUGUGAAUUUUGGGGAAAAAUGAUAGCUCCGUGUCAUGUAGCAUAUUAGUUUAUUUGAUGGUACUUCUUUGUAUGUCCUACAAAACAGAGGUUAGGACGAAUGCAAACACAAAUUAACAUGAUUAAAGACCGAAGAAUGAUGAGAAAAUGAUGAAACAUUGUGUCGUUUAACGAUAAACCUAAUGACGCCACAAAAGGGAAUAGUGGAGGAUCGGCUCAGAGUGGCCAAGUGAAACGAGGACGGACUGAUGGCCCAUUGUCCAGACCCAUCUGAUCAGUAGGUGUUCAGCCCGCUUUCGG